UGUAGCUCAGCGGUAAAGUGUUUGCCUUGCAUGCACAAAGCCCUGGGUUCAAUCCCCAGCA
rnacentral:tRNA from 1 species